rnacentral:lncRNA from 1 species
AACAGGAUAUAUAGACUGUGUUCCCUAUAAUAAAAUAUACAACAGGAUAUAUAGACUGUGUUCCCUAUAAUAAAAUGUACAACAGGAUAUAUAGACUGUGUUCCCUAUAAUAAAAUAUACAACAGGAUAUAUAGACUGUGUUCCCUAUAAUAAAAUAUACAACAGGAUAUAUAGACUGUGUUCUCUAUAAUAUAAUAUACAACAGGAUAUAUAGACUGUGUUCCCUAUAAUAAAAUGUACAACAGGAUAUAUAGACUGUGUUCCCUAUAAUAAAAUAUACAACAGGAUAUAUAGACUUUUUCCCUAUAAUAAAAUAUACAACAGGAUAUAUAGACUGUGUUCUCUAUAAUAUAAUAUACAACAGGAUAUAUAGACUGUGUUCCCUAUAAUAUAAUAUACAACAGGAUAUAUAGACUGUGUUCCCUAUAAUAAAAUAUACAACAGGAUAUAUAGACUGUGUUCUCUAUAAUAUAAUAUACAACAGGAUAUAUAGACUGUGUUCCCUAUAAUAUAAUAUACAACAGGAUAUAUAGACUGUGUUCUCUAUAAUAUAAUAUACAACAGGAUAUAUAGACUGUGUUCCCUAUAAUAUAAUAUACAACAGGAUAUAUAGACUGUGUUCCCUAUAAUAAAAUAUACAACAGGAUAUAUAGACUGUGUUCUCUAUAAUAAAAUGUACAACAGGAUAUACAGACUGUGUUCCCUAUAAUAAAAUAUACAACAGGAUAUAUAGACUGUGUUCUCUAUAAUAAAAUCUACAACAGGAUAUAUAGACUGUGUUCCCUAUAAUAUACAACAGGAUAUAUAGACUGUGUUCCCUAUAAUAAAAUAUACAACAGGAUAUAUAGACUUUGUUCCCUAUAAUAUACAACAGGAUAUAUAGACUGUGUUCCCUAUAAUAAAAUAUACAACAGGAUAUAUAGACUGUGUUCCCUAUAAUAAAAUAUACAACAGGAUAUAUAGACUGUGUUCUCUAUAAUAAAAUAUACAACAGGAUAUAUAGACUGUGUUCCCUAUAAUAUACAACAGGAUAUAUAGACUGUGUUCCCUAUAAUAAAAUAUACAACAGGAUAUAUAGACUGUGUUCUCUAUAAUAAAAUGUACAACAGGAUAUAUAGACUGUGUUCCCUAUAAUAAAAUAUACAACAGGAUAUAUAGACUGUGUUCUCUAUAAUAAAAUCUACAACAGGAUAUAUAGACUGUGUUCCCUAUAAUAUACAACAGGAUAUAUAGACUGUGUUCCCUAUAAUAAAAUAUACAACAGGAUAUAUAGACUGUGUUCCCUAUAAUAUACAACAGGAUAUAUAGACUGUGUUCCCUAUAAUAAAAUAUACAACAGGAUAUAUAGACUGUGUUCCCUAUAAUAAAAUGUACAACAGGAUAUAUAGACUGUGUUCCCUAUAAUAAAAUAUACAACAGGAUAUAUAGACUGUGUUCCCUAUAAUAAAAUAUACAACAGGAUAUAUAGACUGUGUUCUCUAUAAUAUAAUAUACAACAGGAUAUAUAGACUGUGUUCCCUAUAAUAAAAUGUACAACAGGAUAUAUAGACUGUGUUCCCUAUAAUAAAAUAUACAACAGGAUAUAUAGACUGUGUUCCCUAUAAUAAAAUAUACAACAGGAUAUAUAGACUGUGUUCUCUAUAAUAUAAUAUACAACAGGAUAUAUAGACUGUGUUCCCUAUAAUAUAAUAUACAACAGGAUAUAUAGACUGUGUUCCCUAUAAUAAAAUAUACAACAGGAUAUAUAGACUGUGUUCUCUAUAAUAUAAUAUACAACAGGAUAUAUAGACUGUGUUCCCUAUAAUAUAAUAUACAACAGGAUAUAUAGACUGUGUUCUCUAUAAUAUAAUAUACAACAGGAUAUAUAGACUGUGUUCCCUAUAAUAUAAUAUACAACAGGAUAUAUAGACUGUGUUCCCUAUAAUAAAAUAUACAACAGGAUACGAAGAAAGGUCUUCAGACUAAACUUUGUUGACAGGAAACUACGCUCUAGUGCCCCCACAACGCCUGAUGUCUCUCCCUUCAUCCCUCCAUCUUCCUCCCUCUGUCAUCUCCUUUCAUCCCUCCAUCUUCCUCCCUCUGUCAUCUCCCUUCAUCCCUCCAUAUUCCUCCCUCUGUCAUCUCUCUUCCUCCCUCCAUCUUCUCUCUUACUCCCAUUCAAACCUCCAGCAACAUCUUACCACCUUUCCCUCUAUCUCUCUUUCCCUCGUCAUCUCCCUCUGUGCCUCGUCAUCUCCCUCUGUCCCUCGUCAUCUCUAUCUUUCCCUCGUCAUCUCCCUCUGUCCCUCGUCAUCUCCCUCUGUCCCUCGUCUUCUCUCUCUGUCCCUCGUCAUCUCUCUCUUUCCCUCGUCAUCUCCCUCUGUCCCUCGUCAUCUCUCUCUGUCCCUCGUCAUCUCCCUCUGUCCCUCGUCAUCUCUCUCUGUCCCUCGUCAUCUCCCUCUGUCCCUCGUCAUCUCUCUCUGUCCCUCGUCAUCUCCCUCUGUCCCUCGUCAUCUCCCUCUGUCCCUCGUCAUCUCCCUCUGUCCCUCGUCAUCUCUCUCUGCAUCCUUCUGUCUCCUUCCAUCCCUCUCCCCCUCACACCUCAAGGGACAUAUUUAUCAAAUUUAUCUCUCAACAUGCUUCCUUAACCUUACUGUAAUCCCCCUCUCUUUAUAUCUCUCCAUCUCUCCCUCAUCCCUCCAUCUCAUCCUCCAUCCUUCCAUCUCUUCCUCCAUUCAUCUCUCACAACCAGCCCCAUAAUAUAGAGAUGAGUACUGCCUUAUCACAACCAGCCCCAUAAUAUAGAGGUGAGUACUGCCUUAUCACAACCAGCCCCAUAAUGCAGAGGUGAGUACUGCCUUAUCACAACCAGUCCCAUAAUGUAGAGAUGAGUUCUGCCUUAUCACAACCAGUCCCAUAAUGUAGAGAUGAGUUCUGCCUUAUCACAACCAGUCCCAUAAUAUAGAGAUGAGUUCUGCCUUAUCACAACCAGUCCCAUAAUGUAGAGAGGAGUACUGCCUUAUCACAACCAGCCCCAUAAUAUAGAGAGGAGUACUGCCUUAUGACAACCAGCCCCAUAAUAUAGAGAUGAGUACUGCCUUAUCACUGACAAUGGGAAAUGAAAGGUAAAUAUUUGUAAAGAAAAUGAAAAAUAAGUAACUUUGUUAGACAAUAGUAGGUGUAUAAAUGAUUUAUUAUAUAUUUAAUAUAUGUACUUAGAGAUCCAGUUGUUUCUUUAUAAUGGUCAGUAUAUUGUGUAAACAAUUAUUAUGAGACUUAUGAAACCAUUCAAAAUGCAUGCAAGUCUGAGAUGUCUCUGACCCCUCACAGUAGAGGUUGGCAGCCAUUUAUACAAGGAAUUGAUUUUUAAUUCCAUUUCAAGCGGACCUUCCCAAGUCUGAGCGUGGCUCUACCUGACUGAUCUGUUAGAUGAACUGAUGAAUAAUAUUCACAACUCUAAAUGUAAUUUGUGUCUAGAUUCAACAGGGAUGUUGGCCCAUGUUGACUCCAAUGCUUCCCACAGUGGUGUCAAGUGUCAAGGCUGGAUGUCCUUUGGGUGGUGGACCAUUCUUCAUACACACGGGAAACUGUUGAAUGUGGGAAAACCCAGCAGCGUUGCAGUUCUUGACACACUCAAACCGGUGCGCCUGGCACCUAUUACCAUAACUCGGUGGUAUGGUAUCAAUCAACUCUCUUCAUUAAAAUAUUGACUUUAAAACUAUGCCUCUGAUGUGUUUCUUCAUCACCAACAGGAAAUACUAGUUUAAGUAUAGUGACAGUUUGUUUCCCAACAGGAAAGACUAGUUUAAGUAUAGUGACAGUUUGUUACCCAACAGGAAAGACUAGUUUAAGUAUAGUGACAGUUUGU